ensembl:lncRNA
AAGAUUUCAUCAAUGAAGGUUAAAUUUCAAUUGACUAAAGUCCACUGAUAAGUUGUACAUACUAAGUAUCUAAUACUUUCAGUAUUGCCGAAGGUUUGUGUGACUUUCCAUUAAUUAUUCUUUUGAGACUAUCCAAAAGACAAAAGGAAGUCAAAGAGGACAUUGAGGCUAUAAAGAAGUGCACGCAAAGGUCUGAUGAGGAACUGCAACAGUGGGUCAUUGAUGUGACACAGUGGGCAGUUGACACACCAGAUGACCUCAGAACAGAUGAUCCAGUGGCGUUGCAACAUCUGAUUGAAGGCCUAUUCUUGGGCAUCCAGCAGAAAAAGAGGAAUCUAUAUCGAGUAACCGACCGUAACAAACAGCGACACAAGAUCCGAAGAUGGAUUAGAGAGGAUAAGAAAAAGCUGUUUAAUGCCAUAUCCCAAUACAAUGAUCUUCCAACCACCACAGAAUCUGUAGAUUCAGUUGAAGACCUUCUGGCAACAGAAAGCCCUAUCUGGCCUUGGGAUUCUGAACCUGACACUUCCUUAGGCAUGAAGAAGAAGGUUUUUGACAAGGUGAUGUAGCUGGAGAGACUGAUUGAGGAAGAGGCUAUAAUUUUAGAGGAAAUGAAACAACAUUGGACUCAUCUUACAAGAACCUGCAGGGCCUUGAAGGACCAGGCUAAUGUACUAUCAGAUGACCUGGCCACACAGAACUACCCUUCAGGACUGUCUGGUCAAGCUUACCAUGGCCUGCACAGUGCUGUCCUCCAAAAAUGUGAGGAGCUCAAAACAGACCUGGUACCUGUGAAAGAAACCUACUCCCAAAUAGUGGUAAAUGGGAAUGGUGGAACU